UGAAUCGUGCAAAUGGCGCCGUUACC
rnacentral:sRNA from 1 species